rnacentral:misc_RNA from 1 species
AUGUAACCGGACCGUUCAGGUGCCGUAAAACGCAUCUGUUCGGAAAGGGAGAUAUCAUACACCCUGUGUUUAUUUACCUUUGUUGCUUUGGCGGGCCGUUCUUUUAGGCGUCGGCCCCGGUUGACCGCGCCCGCCAGAGGACCCAAACUCUUCUAUCAGUGAUGUCUGAGUACUACAUAAUAGUUA